rnacentral:ncRNA from 1 species
ACGGAGUAACCCGAAAAGCCAUAAGUGAGUAGGGA